GCUAGGAAAAACUCCCUAGAAAGGCCAGAACCUAGGAAGAAACCUAGAGAGGAACCAGGCUAUGAGGGGUGGCCAGUCCUCUUCUGGCUGUGCCGGGUGGAGAUUAUAACAGAACAUGGCCAAGAUGUUCAAAUGUUCAUAGAUGACCAGCAGGGUCAAAUAAUAAUAAUCACAGUGGUUGUCGAGGGUGCAACAGGUCAGCACCUCAGGAGUAAAUAUCAGUUGGCUUUUUAUAGCUGAUCAUUCAGAGUAUCUCUACCGCUCCUGCUGUCUUUAGAGAGAUGAAAACAGCAGGUCUGGGACAGGUAGCACGUCCGGUGAACAGGUCAGGGUUCCAUAGCCGCAGGCAGAACAGUUGAAACUUGAGCAGCAGCAUGGCCAGGUGGACUGGGGACAGCAAGGAGUCAUCAGGCCAGGUAGUCCUGAGGCAUGGUCCUAGGGCUCAGGUUCUCAAAGAGGGAGAAAGAAAGAAGGAAGGAAAGAAAGAAAGAAGGAAAGAAAGAAAGAGAAUUAGAGAGAGCAUACUUAAAUUCACACAGGACACCGGAUAAGACAGGAGAAAUACUCCAGAUAUAACAGACUGACCAUAGUCCCCUGACCCAAACUACUGCAGCAUAAGUACUGGAGGCUGAGACAGGAGGGGUCGGAAGACACUAUGGAAAGUUGAUCUUUGACGCUUUCGUGAGGGGCUUCCAUCCUCGUAUCAACCGACUCAUGGUCUGAACCACCCAUCACAGAACUGGCAGAGACAGGACUCAUCAGGGAUGAUUCUGAAAAACACAAAGAUGACAAUACAGGCAUGUCAAAUGUAUGGUUAUAUUGAAAGUGAUGCCACAAAUAACCAAUAGCAUCAUUGUUCAGUGUGAGCUUGAAAACACCAAGAUCUGUCUGUUUCACCACCUCCUCAAACACAUCCCCAUCAACUUUAGUUCCAGACCCAUCAUACAGCUUUGCCUCUGAUAAACUAGUAAGUGGGAUCUCAAAUUUCAGGAAAGCUGUAACAAACAUUAAAACAACAAUCGUAAUGGUAAGAGUAAUCAGACAGACUAGUAUGAAAACAAUACAUUUAUUUCCAAUCACAAAUUAAAAGUUUACCUCCAAUCAAAAAGGUUUUCAAGUGUCAGGUCAAUGAUCUUGACAUAUCUAUGUUCACCAUUGAAUUUCACCCUGAUCAGCAUGACUACGUCUGAAAGCAGUUAAGGGUACGAGAUAAGGCCAACAUGGAUGAAAAAGCAUUACAUUUUUAUUUUGAUCAUGACACUUUAUAUUAGGGUGACUACAAACGUUUUCAUCAAUACUCCUUUACUUAGCAAUGCUAAUUUCAAAGUAUAUUAUGAAAAUAUUGGAUCAUGACCACAACUUGUCUGAUAUUACUUAAAGCAGGUCCCAGCAAACAGACUAUUCAACUUACAUUCACUGUCCCGAAAUAUUGACACGGCCUAAUUAGUCCAGUAAAAUACACUCAUAAUUCCAGCUAGUCACUAUAUUAUGAUGUCAGGUUCUAGGAUUAGUCUUACAAGACCGCCAAAAUGAACUGAUUAUAAAGCGAGUGGGAAACACAGUUAGCCAGACUAGCUAGCUGCCAAUGCAAUGGCCACAAUAUUUAUCUGUAAGCAUCACACACAAGACUAAAAUGCAGUUAUAAUUUGGUAAAAUAAACAACUCACCUUAAAUCAGAUUAGUCCUCAAUAUAUAGUAAGCAUCUGAAAUAAAGAGAACAAACUAGCACGAGGCUAAAAAAAGCUUGGUGUUGAAAUGAGACACGCGCUCAUGGAACCAACACAUGGAGCAGACUAACUGCACAGGACAGGGGCAAGCUAGUUAACUAGCAUGCUAGCUAUCUAGCAAAGACUUGCAAAAAGUGACGUUUGGUGCCCUCUAGGCAGAGUUCCUCUGUCCAGUGUCUGUGUUCUUUUACCCAUCUUAAUUUUUUCUUUUUAUUGGCCAGUCUGAGAUAUGGCUUUUUCUUUGCAACUCUGCCUAGAAGGCCAGCAUCCCAGAGUCGCCUCUUCACUGUUGACAUUGAGACUGGUUUCUUGCGGGUACUAUUUUUUGAAGCUGUCAGUUGACCACUUGUGAGGCGUCUGUUUCUCAAACUAGACAAUCUAAUGUACUUGUCCUCUUGCUCAGUUGUGAGGGCCUCCC
rnacentral:lncRNA from 1 species